GCCACAAGCGAGAUUCGAACUCGCGACCCCUGGUUUACGAGACCAGUGCUCUAACCUCUGAGCUAUGG
rnacentral:tRNA from 1 species